rnacentral:lncRNA from 1 species
AUGGCUUUGGGAGCCAGACUUUGCGAGCACAUCUUCCCUAGCAGGGAUACUGCUGCAGCAGCAAGCAGGGAAAAUUACCCUGAGUUUUCAGAAACAUCAGAAACACCUUCCCUUUUUCUUCACAAGCAUCAGCCUCUCUGCAGCUCCCUCCUGCAUCAGUGCCAAGAGAGCAAAGGCCUCCAAUGCUGGUGUCAGGGGGUAAUUGUUCUUCACAUGGCACAUCUCAGCCAGCAAGGCCCAGACCACAGACCAUUCCCGGUUAGUCUGAGCUUUCCCUUGUUAGAGAUACAGACUGAGGACUGA